GCAAAUUGGAUUACAUGUUAACAUUGUGUUGGUUAACUGUGUUGGAUUAGAGGUUAGAGUAGCUCCUUUAUUGCGUUAAUCUGUGAUUGGGAGCAUAGUGAUUGAGUUAAUGACCGACCGUUUUCAUUCUAUCUUUGAACUAGUUUUUACAUCUGUGUUUGCAUCUUUGUUUGCAUCCGUGUUUUUAAUUUAAAUCAUCUACAGUCACAAAACCUCACAAACCGCCCCACUUCGUGUUAGACCUGAUUCUGAAC
rnacentral:lncRNA from 1 species